rnacentral:lncRNA from 1 species
CAAUUUGUAUCUAAUCAUACGGUGCAAACACACCUACCCACAAACUGAAUCUUGCACCAACAAAUCUAUGUCCACAAGGAUCCUUAUUCGCUAUUGUUGUUGACAUUCUUUCCCAAGAUCCGUCCAAUCUUCCACAACGAUAUAUAGUGGUUUUGCUUAGAGCGGUCUUCCACAAUGAUAUAUAGUGGUUUUGCUUAGAGCGGUGGCAGUAGUUUUCAUGAUUUAGGAUUGCACACUAUUUUAGGGUUUUGGUAAUUGUGGCUUGAGAUAAACAUUAACUACCACAUUUAAAUCACUUCUCUAAUAAAACUAAGAUAAACGUGCAAGUAGAUUUCAUCUCUAUUAGAGGAGAAAACUUGUGUGGGGCUUUGUUUGCCACUGGACUUUGCUGAAUGACACUACAACCCACUCAAAACUCGUCACAUGGCCAAUCUUAUAAUUUUUUUUUAUAUUUAGAACUCCCAUAAUUAUUUUUUUACUAAUUAUUAUACACUAUAAGAUUAAUCUAAUAGUUAAAUUUUUUUUUUCCUCUUAGAUAUGCAUUUGAGUGUUUAAAUUGGAAUGCCUUUUAACUCUCUGCUAAGUAAUUGAGUUUUUGUAAUCAUUCAAGUAUCUUUUGGAGCAAUCAAUUAUGAAGAAGCGCCAUAGUUAAGCAGUCUCCC